UGUACCAACACACAGAACACCCAUUCUUCUCCCUCCAAGGCACACAAACCACGUGAUGGAGAAGCAUGAAAAAGAGGCAGAGCCAGCCCCUGAGGUGGCUGCAGAAAACGAAUGCGCUUGUAGAAACUCUUCCUUGUGGAUCUUUUAUUUUAGAAAGGUUUACUCAAAGCCCACAGAAGCAAGAAACAGCCAAGUUUCCACUUUAAAAUUCCUGGGACAUAAAAGUUUUCAACUUGGCAACUGAAUCUUAAAAAUACAAAUUUCAAAUGCUAGCUUCGGAAUUCAAUUUAAACACAGAGACAAAUCCAGGAGGGAAGUUGGGAAGACUCCUCUUUCCAUAGCCAGAACGCAUGGAGGACUUGAAGUUUGUCAAAUAAAUAUUGGAGGAGAUGAACUCAGAUGACACUGAGGCGUGGUCUCUGAUGCUGCCAGAAUCUAGAAUCCUGGAGAACCAAAGCCGCAUCCGUGUAAUUCCGACCAUCAGGCAAGAAAAUACAAACGACCAAACAACGUUACUUCUUUGAGCUGAGAUCAGAUAAUCCUACUAAUCCAAUAGAUUUAUCUCGAUUGGAAAUUGACCUCAAAAAUGAAUUCCCAGUGCUGGUUGGUGUCCAGUAGAACGAUUCCGUAGCCUUAUCCGGGUUACCAAGAGCUGUGGUUUCUUUCUUUCUUUUUUUUUUUAAAUAAAAUUCUUUUUGGAUUCUGGGUGCACUGCUCGCAAAAAAAUGCCGAGGACCCUGGUUUUCCCUAAUACAGGUUUCUACUCCAAAUCCGUGCGGAAUGAAAAAUGGUACAAAGGUUCCCCUAGUGGCUCCAGGCGAUAUUGCAGGGAUUUCACUUUUUUCCUCCAUCGCUUCACCUUUUCCACCCCCACCCCCCACCCAGCUCCCCUGGCUUCUGGGUAUAACUUGCUGUUAUAGUAGCCAGGGGGUUGAACCCGAUUAAUACUAGUAGAAUAAAACUGCCUAAACACGUAGGGUGGCCUUUGGUUUGCACUGGAAGACUGAAGAUCUGUGUUUCUGACUCCUCAGUAUUUACAUUCUUCCCCGAUAGCAUUUAGUAGCUAACAUGCCAAUUUGGAGAAUCACUGUGAUAUCAAAGAAAUGUAUUUCCUAAAUACCAGUAGUCAGUAGUUAGUGUAUACACACACACACACACACACACACACACACACACACACACACACACACGCCCGGUCCUAGUCUUCCUGAAAUUCGUUGUUUUCAGAAAACUGCUUAACAUUUUGUUUCCUUUAAAUAUGUAUGAUAAAGGAUAUUAUUUAGA